rnacentral:lncRNA from 1 species
CUAGCACAUACUACGCAUAAAAACCUAAUCGCCCCUCUCCCGUACAGGAACCGGAGAGGCGAGGUUUCGGAGGCCUGCUUUCCCGUCGACCGUGUACGCGGUAAACGGGACGGAGUCGCCGGCGGCAGCAGCAGUUCAAGGAACGAACGCGUGAGGCAGAUGUGAUCUGAUUUCUUGGGUAUGACGUAGGUAUGAGCUCGGCUCGGCUCAUUCCCGCAACCCGCGUCGCGUCGUGACGAGGCGUGGCGAGGCGGGCGGCGGAGGAGGAGUGCGCGAGGGCACCUUCUCU